CUUGUAGCGACAUCGUAGCUGAAGGAACUCUGCAGUGACAACAAAAACGUCUCUCAUUAAAAGGAGGUGCAGCAUUAAAUAAGAAUAUCAUCGCUGUCGCUGUUUUAGCUCCAUACUCUUCCUUCCUGUCUGACUUCUGAUUCACCGACAAAAAGAAGUCCUGACUGCACCUUAACACAGCCCAGGCA